UACGUAGGGGGCAAGCGUUGUCCGGAUUUAUUGGGCGUAAAGAGCGUGUAGGCGGCCAGACAGGUCAGCUGUGAAAACUCGAGGCUCAACCUCGAGACGUCGGUUGAAACCGUCUGGCUAGAGUCCGGAAGAGGAGAGUGGGAUUCCCGGUGUAGCGGUGAAAUGCGCAGAUAUCGGGAAGAACACCCGUGGCGAAGGCGGCUCUCUGGGACGGUACUGACGCUGAGACGCGAAAGCGUGGGGAGCGAACAGG
rnacentral:rRNA from 1 species